rnacentral:rRNA from 1 species
CGUAGGGUGCAGGCGUUAAUCGGAAUUACUGGGCGUAAAGCGUGCGCAGGCGGUCUUUUAAGUCAGAUGUGAAAUCCCCGGGCUUAACCUGGGAACUGCGUUUGAAACUGGAAGGCUUGAGUGUGGCAGAGGGGGGUGGAAUUCCACGUGUAGCAGUGAAAUGCGUAGAGAUGUGGAGGAACACCGAUGGCGAAGGCAGCCCCCUGGGCUAACACUGACGCUCAUGCACGAAAGCGUGGGGAGCAAACAGGAUUAGAUACCCUGGUAGUCCACGCCCUAAACUAUGUCAACUGGUUGUCGGGGAAGCAAUUCCUUGGUAACGAAGCUAACGCGUGAAGUUGACCGCCUGGGGAGUACGGCCGCAAGGUUA